rnacentral:rRNA from 1 species
AUGCAUAAUGCCAAGCCAGUAAUUACUCCGUUAGCUGCACACUUCAAAUUAUCAUCAGCUUUAUGUCCUAAGUCAGAUGCAGAUAUUGAGUACAUGUCUAGAGUUCCCUAUUCGAGUGCGGUUGGUCCACUUAUGUAUGCCAUGGUUUGUUCUCGUCCGGAUUUAUCUUAUGCAUUGAGUGUUGUCAGUAGAUACAUGGCUAAUCCUGGAAAAGAGCAUUGGAAAGCAGUUCAGUGGAUUUUCAGAUACCUGCGAGGUACUUCUAAUGCUUAUUUACAGUUUGGGAAAACUAGAGAUGGACUUGUUGGUUUUGUUGAUUCUGAUUUUGCUGGUGAUUUGGAUAAGAGAAGAUCACUCACAGGUUAUGUUUUCACCAUUGGUGGUUGUGCUAUGAGUUGGAGAGCAACUUUGCAGUCUAUUGUGGCUUGUUCCACUACUGAUGCCGAGUAUAUGGCUAUUUCUGAGGCAUGCAAAGAAGCUAUCUGGUUGAGAGGUUUGUAUGCUGAGCUUUGUGGAGAUUCAUCUUGCCCUACCAUAUUUUCUGACAGUCAAAGUGCCAUAUAUCUUACAAAGAAUCCAAUGUAUCAUGAGAGGACAAAGCACAUUGAUGUCAGAUUUCAUUAUAUUCGAGAUGUUGUUGCUGAAGGCAAUUUGAAGGUAUGCAAGAUAAGUACUCAUGAUAAUCCUGCUGAUAUGAUGACAAAGCCAGUUCCGACCAAUAAGUUUGAGCUUUGCUCAGGCUUAGUUGGUAUUUCUCACUAG